ACGGCUCAGUAACACGUGGAUAACCUGCCCUUGGGACCGGCAUAACCCCGGGAAACUGGGGAUAAUUCCGGAUAACGCAUAUUUGCUGGAAUGCUUUAUGCGUCAAAAGGAUUCGUCUGCCCAAGGAUGGGUCUGCGGCCUAUCAGGUAGUAGUGGGUGUAAUGUACCUACUAGCCAGCGACGGGUACGGGUUGUGAGAGCAAGAGCCCGGAGAUGGAUUCUGAGACAUGAAUCCAGGCCCUACGGGGCGCAGCAGGCGCGAAAACUUUACAAUGCGGGAAACCGUGAUAAGGGGACACCGAGUGCCAGCAUCAUAUGCUGGCUGUCCGGAUGUGUAAAAUACAUCCGUUAGCAAGGGCCGGGCAAGACCGGUGCCAGCCGCCGCGGUAACACCGGCGGCCCGAGUGGUGAUCGUGAUUAUUGGGUCUAAAGGGUCCGUAGCCGGUUUGGUCAGUCCUCCGGGAAAUCUGAUAGCUCAACUAUUAGGCUUUCGGGGGAUACUGCCAGACUUGGAACCGGGAGAGGUAAGAGGUACUACAGGGGUAGGAGUGAAAUCUUGUAAUCCCUGUGGGACCACCUGUGGCGAAGGCGUCUUACCAGAACGGGUUCGACGGUGAGGGACGAAAGCUGGGGGCACGAACCGGAUUAGAUACCCGGGUAGUCCCAGCCGUAAACGAUGCUCGCUAGGUGUCAGGCAUGGCGCGACCGUGUCUGGUGCCGCAGGGAAGCCGUGAAGCGAGCCACCUGGGAAGUACGGCCGCAAGGCUGAAACUUAAAGGAAUUGGCCGGGGGAGCAC
rnacentral:rRNA from 1 species